UGAUGCUGAUGAUGAUGAUGAUGAUGAUGAUGAUGAUGAUGAUUAAAACGGCCAGCAUAACCAUCGUCAUCAUCACCACCAUCAUCAUCAUCCGGU
rnacentral:pre_miRNA from 1 species